rnacentral:rRNA from 1 species
UCCUCCCUCUGGCGGCGUGCUUAACACAUGCAAGUCGAACGGAAAGGCCCUGCUUUUGUGGGGUGCUCGAGUGGCGAACGGGUGAGUAACACGUGAGUAACCUGCCCUUGACUUUGGGAUAACUUCAGGAAACUGGGGCUAAUACCGGAUAGGAGCUCCUGCUGCAUGGUGGGGGUUGGAAAGUUUCGGCGGUUGGGGAUGGACUCGCGGCUUAUCAGCUUGUUGGUGGGGUAGUGGCUUACCAAGGCUUUGACGGGUAGCCGGCCUGAGAGGGUGACCGGCCACAUUGGGACUGAGAUACGGCCCAGACUCCUACGGGAGGCAGCAGUGGGGAAUAUUGCACAAUGGGCAGAAGCCUGAUGCAGCAACGCCGCGUGCGGGAUGACGGCCUUCGGGUUGUAAACCGCUUUCGCCUGUGACGAAGCGUGAGUGACGGUAAUGGGUAAAGAAGCACCGGCUAACUACGUG